rnacentral:rRNA from 1 species
CAGCCGUAAACUAUGCGCGUUAGGUGUAUCGGUGACCACGAGUUACCGAGGUGCCGAAGGGAAACCGUGAAACGUGCCGCCUGGGAAGUACGGUCGCAAGGCUGAAACUUAGAGGAAUUGGCGGGGGAGCACCACAACGGGUGGAGCCUGCGGUUUAAUUGGACUCAACGCCGGGAAGCUCACCGGAUAGGACAGCAGAAUGAUUGCCGGGCUGAAGACCCUGCAUGACUAGCUGAGAGGAGGUGCAUGGCGUCAGUGACU